ACUUGUGCUCUUCCAUCUGAAAAUGUAGCCCAUUACUUCCCACCUCAUAAGUUACACCUUGACCUAACUUUUUUAUGUUAAGAUACUUGUGCAUACUUUUCUUCCUUUUUAGGGUUUGCUGAAGAUGGC